rnacentral:lncRNA from 1 species
UGAUUACGGUUUUGUUUAUUAUAAGAGAUCCAAAGGUCAUCUACUAAACACCUUUGGGGUCUAUCUAAAAUGUAAUCUGGUCUUACUCUAAAAGAUAUGUUACUCUCAGGGUAAGCAAUUAAAUUAAAUGGUCCGAAGUGAAUUCUUUCCAUUGUCUCUAAAGAUUCUAGUGGUCUAAAAUUUAAAUUACCUAACAUUGUCUGUUGAUACAACUCUGAAGACGAAGCUACACCUUUGCCUUUGUCUGCAGGAGGUUGUCCUGUUGGUCUCAAGCUGAAAACAAAUGGUUAAACUUAUUUAUUUAUUCCCAGUUGUAGUCUACUUAACUGGUCUGCUAAUUCGUUUUCUUUACCUUUUAUAUGUUCAAAUACUAUAUUCUUG